AUUGAACGCUGGCGGCAGGCCUAACACAUGCAAGUCGAGCGGAUCGGCGGACGGGUGAGUAAUGCCUAGGAAUCUGCCUGGUCGUGAGGGAUAACGUCCGGAACCGGACGCUAAUACCGCAUCCUAUCAGCUUAGCCUAGGUCGGAUUAGCUAUUUGGUGGGGUAAAGGCCUACCAAGGCGACGAGCCGUAACUGGUCUGAGAGGAUGAUCAGUCACACUGGAACUGAGACACGGUCCAGACUCCUACGGGAGGCAGCAGUGGGGAAUAUUGGACAAUGGGCGAAAGCCUGAUGCAGCCAUGCCGCGUGUGUGAAGAAGGUCUUCGGAUUGUAAAGCACUUUAAGUUGGGAGGCGUUACCAACAGAAUAAGCCACGGCUAACUACGUGCCAGCAGCCGCGGUAAUUC
rnacentral:rRNA from 1 species